rnacentral:lncRNA from 1 species
UUAUUCGAAAUAUUGAUGAGUUCAUGUAUCUAAAUAAGUCUUGGAUUUGCCCUUAUAGAUAAAUCUUCCUAGGGAUGUAAAUCGGAACGGAAUUUCCGAAUUUCGCCAAUUCCAAUCCGAAUAACAUUUCUGAACCGUUUUUUUCAUUCCGACUUCCGAAGUUCCGAUUUCCGAAAUUCCGCCGAUUCCGAGUCAUUCUGAA